UACAGAGGGUGCAAGCGUUGUUCGGAAUUAUUGGGCGUAAAGGGCGCGUAGGCGGCCAUGCGUGUCUUCCGUGAAAUCCCUCGGCUUAACUGAGGACGUGCGGAAGAAACUGCAAGGCUCGAGUCCGGGAGAGGAGGGUGGAAUUCCCAGUGUAGCGGUGAAAUGCGUAGAUAUUGGGAGGAACACCGGUGGCGAAGGCGGCCCUCUGGACCGGUACUGACGCUGAGGAGCGAAAGCAUGGGUAGCGAACAGG
rnacentral:rRNA from 1 species